rnacentral:rRNA from 1 species
AGCAGCCGCGGUAAUUCCAGCUCCAAUAGCGUAUAUUAAAGUUGUUGCAGUUAAAAAGCUCGUAGUUGAAUUUCGGAAUCUGUCCGUUGGUCGGGCUUAACUGUCCGUACUGAUGUGAUGGGUUCUUACCUUCUGAAUAACCAUCAUGCCAUUAAUUUGGUGUGUUGGGGAAGCAGGACUAUUACCUUGAAAAAAUUAGAGUGCUCAAAGCAGGCUAGCGCCUGAAUACAUUAGCAUGGAAUAAUAAAAUAGGACGGCAUGGUUCUAUUUUGUUGGUUUCUAGGAUCACCGUAAUGAUUAAUAGGGAUAGUUGGGGGCAUUAGUAUUCAAUUGUCAGAGGUGAAAUUCUUGGAUUUAUUGAAGACUAACUUCUGCGAAAGCAUUUGCCAAGGAUGUUUUCAUUAAUCAAGAACGAAAGUUAGGGGAUCGAAGACGAUCAGAUACCGUCGUAGUCUUAACCAUAAACUAUGCCGACUAGGGAUCGGACGAUGUUAAUUUUA